rnacentral:rRNA from 1 species
CACGUAGGGCGCGAGCGCUGUCCGGAAUUAUUGGGCGUAAAGAGCUCGUAGGCGGCCUGUUGCGUCCGCUGUGAAAGCCCGGGGCUUAACCCCGGGUCGGCAGUGGAUACGGGCAGGCUAGAGGUAGGUAGGGGAGAAUGGAAUUCCCGGUGUAGCGGUGAAAUGCGCAGAUAUCGGGAGGAACACCGGUGGCGAAGGCGGUUCUCUGGGCCUUACCUGACGCUGAGGAGCGAAAGCGUGGGGAGCGAACAGG